UCUGGUAGUUCGUAGUCUGCUUUGGUCCAGUAAACAGUGCUGAACAGCAGAUUUCAAAACCCAGCUCUGUCUUUCAAGAGCGAGGCUAGAUACUACUGAAGAAUGAUCCUGUUCAACCUCUUGGUUGCCUCUACUGAAUUAUUCCCCUGUUAAAUGGUGAAAGAACUGAUAAUUUUUUAAAUCCUAUCAAAAACAGUAAGAGAAUAUGUGAAUGAACUAUGAUCAAACCUAAAAACCAUUGCCACUGCCGUUAAUAAAACUUGCCAUUUCAACCAAA